ACGAACGCUGGCGGCAUGCCUCACACCUGCCAGUCGCACGCGACCUUCGGGUCUAGUGGCGCACGGGUGCGUAACGCGUGGGAAUCUACCCUCAGGUUCGGAAUAACUCAGAGAAAUUUGAGCUAAUACCGGAUGAUGACGUAAGUCCAAAGAUUUAUCGCCUGAGGAUGAGCCCGCUUAGGAUUAGGUAGUUGGUGAGGUAAAGGCUCACCAAGCCGACGAUCCUUAGCUGGUCUGAGAGGAUGAUCAGCCACACUGGGACUGAGACACGGCCCAGACUCCUACGGGAGGCAGCAGUGGGGAAUAUUGGACAAUGGGCGAAAGCCUGAUCCAGCAAUGCCGCGUGAGUGAUGAAGGCCUUAGGGUUGUAAAGCUCUUUUACCCGGGAUGAUAAUGACAGUACCGGGAGAAUAAGCUCCGGCUAACUCCGUG
rnacentral:rRNA from 1 species